rnacentral:tRNA from 1 species
AUUCAAAUAGUUUAAUAAAAAUAUUAACUUGUGGCGUUAAAGAUAUAAAAUAUAUUUUGAAUA